rnacentral:rRNA from 1 species
UACGAAGGGGGCUAGCGUUGUUCGGAAUUACUGGGCGUAAAGCGCACGUAGGCGGGUCGUUAAGUCAGGGGUGAAAUCCCAGAGCUCAACUCUGGAACUGCCUUUGAUACUGGCGACCUUGAGGCCGGAAGAGGUUAGUGGAAUUCCCAGUGUAGAGGUGAAAUUCGUAGAUAUUGGGAAGAACACCAGUGGCGAAGGCGGCUAACUGGUCCGGAUCUGACGCUGAGGUGCGAAAGCGUGGGGAGCAAACAGG